rnacentral:misc_RNA from 1 species
GCUGCCCUCAAGCCCGGCUUGUGUGUUGGGUCGCCGUCCUCCCCGGGGGACGGGCCCGAAAGGCAGCGGCGGCACCGCGUCUGGUCCUCGAGCGUAUGGGGCUUCGUCACCCGCUUUGUAGGC